CCUACGGGCGGCAGCAGUGGGGAAUAUUGGACAAUGGGGGCAACCCUGAUCCAGCCAUGCCGCGUGUGUGAAGAAGGCCCUCGGGUUGUAAAGCACUUUCAGUGAGGAAGAACGCCUGGUGGUUAAUACCCAUCAGGAAAGACAUCACUCACAGAAGAAGCACCGGCUAACUCCGUGCCAGCAGCCGCGGUAAUACGGAGGGUGCGAGCGUUAAUCGGAAUUACUGGGCGUAAAGCGCGCGUAGGUGGCUUGAUAAGCCGGUUGUGAAAGCCCCGGGCUCAACCUGGGAACGGCAUCCGGAACUGUCGAGCUAGAGUGCAGGAGAGGAAGGUAGAAUUCCCGGUGUAGCGGUGAAAUGCGUAGAGAUCGGGAGGAAUACCAGUGGCGAAGGCGGCCUUCUGGACUGACACUGACACUGAGGUGCGAAAGCGUGGGUAGCAAACAGGAUUAUAUACCCGAGUAGUC
rnacentral:rRNA from 1 species